rnacentral:rRNA from 1 species
UACGGAGGAUGCAAGCGUUAUCCGGAUUUAUUGGGUUUAAAGGGUGUGCAGGUUGUUUGAUAAGUCAGUGGUGAAAGUCUGUCGCUUAACGGUAGGAUUGCCAUUGAUACUGUUAGACUUGAAUAUGGAUGAGGUAGGCGGAAUGUGUAGUGUAGCCGUGAAAUGCAUAGAUAUUACACAGAACACCGAUUGCGAAGGCAGCUUACUAAUCCAUCAUUGACGCUGAGGCACGAAAGCGUGGGGAUCAAACAGGA